GGCACCAGGUAUUGGACCUUAAAGGUAUCAGAUUCCAUCUGAUCUUGGAAGCUAAAUAGAGUCAACCCUAGUUAGUACUUGAGGGGAAACCAGCAGCAAAUACAAAGAGCUGCAGGCU
rnacentral:rRNA from 11 species